UGGGACUUCUACUCAAAAUUUUGGAAGGUGAGAGAUAGGUGCUGAUAGGUGCGAGAUGCUGGAAAACUUCAAGGCAAAGUUGCUAAGUCUAAUAAAAUUGCUAACCCUAAAGCCUUAACACCAUAGUAGAGUAGCUAAACAUGCAUUCUAAACGGUUUAGGAGGUUUACACUCUUAUAUUGGGACUUCUACUCAAAAUUUUGGAAGGUGAGAGAUAGGUGCUGAUAGGUGCGAGAUGAUGGAAAACUUCAAGGCAAAGUUGCUAAGUCUAAUACAAUUGCUAACCCUAUAGCCUUAACACCUAGUAGACUAGCUAAACAUGCAUUCUAAACGGUUUAGGAAGUUAACACUCUUAUAUUGGGACUUCUGCUCAAAAUUUUGGAAGGUGAGAGAUAGGUGCUGAUAGGUGAGAGAUGAUGGAAAACUUCAAGGCAAAGUUGCUAAGUCUAAUACAAUUGCUAAUCCUAAAGCCUUAACACCUAGUAGACUAGCUAAACAUGCAUUCUAAACGGUUUAGGAAGUUUACACUCUUAUAUUGGGACUUCUACUCAAAAUUUUGGAAGGUGAGAGAUAGGUGCUGAUAGGUGCGAGAUGAUGGAAAACUUCAAGGCAAAGUUGCUAAGUCUAAUACAAUUGCUAACCCUAAAGCCUUAACACCUAGUAGACUAGCUAAACAU
rnacentral:lncRNA from 1 species